ACAGAUCACACAAGGCACUUCUUCUGUAAGGUUAUGUGUUCUGCACCAUAAAAAGAUAUUUUACAGAGAAUCUAGUACUAUACGAGGUGAAAAUAAAGACUGAUACAAUGAAUAACCAAUAAUGUUACAAUUAUAUCAUAGCCAUAUACUUCAGACUUGAGAUCAUAUUCUUUUAUGUGAUAAUUAUAAGUAAAAUAUCCCUGUUGCAUGUAUUUAUUUAUGCAGCUAGAGAUAUACAAAUGUGUUUUGGCUGAGGAGGUAGUUUUCAGUAUCAAGCUAUCAAGGAAGUUAAGAAUGUACAAAUAUUUCAUUAUCUUUGUUCAAAGGUCAAAAUUAAUUCCGUUUUUGUUCUUGUAUUUUAAUGGAACUCGGCAUACGAGAGCUGUGUGAUGUUGAGCAUAAUUUAUUUUGUAAGUUGAAUAAUUUUGGUGUUAAAUUAUUCAGAGCCGAAAAAGUAAUUCGCGAGUCGAUGAUAAUAUCCAAAAUGGCGGCGUGUUCGGUGGUUAAUGCUGAUGAAACUCCAGUUUUAAUCAAUAAUAGUAGUGAAACAAGUGAAGUAACGAGUGCUUGUUGUGAUAAAUUUAAAGUAGAACUACAAAAGACCAUAAUAGAACUCAGAUCAGCACAAAAAAUUAUUAAACUGCUACAAGAAGAGAUGAGCUUAAAACGCCCAAUCGGACCCUAAGUACAGACGCAUAUUAUUUGCAUCACAACGAGAAUUCACCACAAUUGGAACUCAAAAAAGGGAACUGGCUUCAUGUGUUCAUGAAUCUCAGCUGGAACAUCUGGCUAACCUGACGUAGGUUUUUCAUGGUUUUUCGCAGGACCUCCAGGCAAAUGCUGGCUGGACGUAGUAUCCCUAAUCAGCGCCAGAAGAAGUACUGUCCAACAUCAAUUGUGAGCCUGAUGACAGCGAACUGGUGCUACAGAUAGCCCUCAAAAAAGCAUGGAGACUGAAGCUGCAGGAGGCUCUCACAGAAUCGGAGAACAAUAUAGAAAAGGUGGCAGAGUCAGUACUGGAGAGAAACUCGGAAGGAAACAUGGAAUGUGGUUCCAUUGUGCUGAAUGCUACAGCAGAAUUCUGCCGUAUGUUGGGUGACAUCGCCAUGUAUGGUUUGGCUGGCAACAGGGAUGAGGACACUCAGGAACUACUUGUGAGUGCAAUACAACCAUCUGCAGAUUUGGGCUUUGAGAGGGAAAUGAUUGAAAGGAAGAAACAUCGGGAAGGAGGCAAACGUGGAGCUUGGAAUGAAGUUGAAAUUGAGAUGAUGAGAAGUUUGGGCAUCGCGAGCGCUACAGUGGUCUGACCUCAGACUUCAAAGAGGAGGAGGAGGGCUACAGACCAAAUGUUAAACUUGACUACACAGAUGAUGAUGGACAUGUGCUUAAUGCAAAGGAGGCUUUUAGAUACCUGUCUCAUAAACUUCAUGGAAAGGGACCUACAGAAAUAAAGUAGAGAAACGAAUGAAGAAGAAUGAACAGGAAGGAGGCAACCAUCUGGAAAACAAAACUGCAAAUUCUUCAUGAAAUAUGCUGGCACCAACUCUGAAAUUUAGUGUGGACUUAUAUUUUUAUUGUUUGUUACUGUCUGGAAUAUCAUCUCUAUUUUUAAGUAAGACACAGCUUGCAGCUGCCGAUAGUGCCUGUAUAUACUGGAAGGAAGGCCACAGAGUUCAUGUCACAUUCAAAUGAGUACAGAGGUUCUCCUGUGCCAGCUGUUGGCACUUGUAAGCUGAAAAGUACAAUUUCUAGUGAGCAGUUGCUUGUUCAUAGGACCUGAGCCAGAUGAACAGCCUCUGAACUAAAUCGGACAUUAAGUAAUUAUAUAUGUGGCGUUUCUUGAUUGCAAUAGCGAUAUUUGUACACCCCCCAUCCAUGCUGCAUUCAAGCCUGCAAAUUGGCCACUGAACAUUGUGACAUGUAUCCUGCCAAAAGACGAAAGAAACCCUUGUUCAGUGAUAGGCCAGUAUGAAAAUCUGUAAAAUUAUACAAACAACAGAAUCAGACGUACACUCUACUGCAAGUCAUUGUAAAGUACCACUGAUAUAUUAUUGAAACAUUUGUAAUGGAUUAUAAAAAUAACUUGGUUCAUCCUGGCCCGUCACACUCGCAACUGUAUAUAAGGUUUUUAACCACUGUCCAGUCUGAUUGAUGAAAGCUGUUUUUAAUUUUCAUCCUUUACAUGUUUAGGUCAAAACAACCAUCUUCAGAAGGAUAUUAUCAACACACAUGGAAGCUACUGUUACGAUGUCAUAGAUAUAAAUUUUGUGUCUCUUAACUAAUAUAUUAGGAUGUAUAUUGAUUUGUUAAAACAUCUAACAAUCAUAAAUCAUAACAUUUAUAUCUGUGACGUGGUAACAGUAGUCUUCAUGUGUGUUGAUAAUAUCCUUCUGAGACAUGUAAAGGAUGAAAUAUUAAAAACAACUUUAUCAAAAACAGUGGACGAUGGUUAAAAGUCUUAUAUAUAUAAAAAAAGUAAAGCUAUCCCUGUAAGAGGCCGUGAAGGCCCAUAGGGUUGUGAGACAUUGA